rnacentral:rRNA from 1 species
GUGCCAGCAGCCGCGGUAAGACGAACCGUGCAAACGUUGUUCGGAAUCACUGGGCUUAAAGGGCGCGUAGGCGGGCAGACAAGUCAGGGGUGAAAUCUUUCGGCUUAACCGGAAAAUAGCUUUUGAUACUGUCUGUCUCGAGGGAGGUAGGGGCAUGUGGAACUUCCGGUGGAGCGGUGAAAUGUGUUGAUAUCGGAAGGAACUCCGGUGGCGAAAGCGACGUGCUGGACCUCUUCUGACGCUGAGGCGCGAAAGCUAGGGGAGCAAACGGGAUUAGAUACCCCUGUAGUCC